rnacentral:misc_RNA from 1 species
GGCUCAGGAGGUACAUGUAGCUGUUCGUGAUUGGCUUACUAAGAAUGUUUCAGCUGAAGUUGCUUCUAAAACACGCAUUAUAUAUGGAGGCUCCGUGAAUGGAAGCAACUCUUCUGACCUUGCAAAGAAAGAAGACAUUGAUGGUUUUCUAGUAGGAGGUGCUUCCUUAAAGGGUCCCGAGUUUGCAACCAUUGUUAAUUCUGUAACUGCCAAGAAGGUAGCUGCUUGAUCAUUUGCCAUGGAGAGAAUAAACAGCAUAGAGAAACACUAAACAAUAAACUACUGUUUCAGUUUUGUACCAUGUUUUCCAUCCAUCUCCCUCUAAUACAAGCAACACAAUGAGGUUUAUUAUUUUUGACUGCUUGUAUUGCUGGGUUUGUACUGUUUGCUAUACUAUAAAUUAUAUACCCAUAGUUGAGAUAUGUUUGAUUCGAGUUUACAAG